GGUUAAGUGACUAAGCGUACACGGUGGAUGCCUUGGCAGUCAGAGGCGAUGAAAGACGUAGUAACUUGCGAUAAGCCCAGAUUAGGUAGUAACAACCAUUUGAGUCUGGGAUUUCUGAAUGGGGAAACCCACGUGCAUAAGCACGUAUCCUUACCUGAAUACAUAGGGUAAGGAGGCGAACCGGGGGAACUGAAACAUCUAAGUACCCCGAGGAAAAGAAAUCAACCGAGAUUCCGAAAGUAGCGGCGAGCGAAAUUGGACUAGCCCUUAAGCUUUACACGCGUUAGACGAACGGUCUGGAAAGUCCGACGAUACAGGGUGAUAGUCCCGUAGUUGACGACGUGUGUUCAGUGAAAUCGAGUAGGGCGGGACACGUGAUAUCCUGUCUGAAUAUGGGGGGACCAUCCUCCAAGGCUAAAUACUACUGACUGACCGAUAGUGAACCAGUACCGUGAGGGAAAGGCGAAAAGAACCCCUGUGAGGGGAGUGAAAUAGAACCUGAAACCGUGUACGUACAAGCAGUAGGAGCAGGCUUUGUCCUGUGACUGCGUACCUUUUGUAUAAUGGGUCAGCGACUUAUAUUCAGUGGCAAGGUUAACCAUCUAGGGGAGCCGUAGGGAAACCGAGUCUUAACUGGGCGUUCAGUCUCUGGAUAUAGACCCGAAACCAGGUGAUCUAGCCAUGGGCAGGUUGAAGGUUGAGUAACAUCAACUGGAGGACCGAACCGACUAAUGUUGAAAAAUUAGCGGAUGACUUGUGGCUAGGGGUGAAAGGCCAAUCAAACCUGGAGAUAGCUGGUUCUCCCCGAAAGCUAUUUAGGUAGCGCCUCGGACGAAUACUACUGGGGGUAGAGCACUGUUAAGGCUAGGGGGUCAUCCCGACUUACCAACCCUUUGCAAACUCCGAAUACCAGUAAGUACUAUCCGGGAGACACACGGCGGGUGCUAACGUCCGUCGUGGAGAGGGAAACAACCCAGACCGCCAGCUAAGGUCCCAAAUUACUACUAAGUGGGAAACGAUGUGGGAAGGCUCAGACAGCCAGGAUGUUGGCUUAGAAGCAGCCAUCAUUUAAAGAAAGCGUAAUAGCUCACUGGUCGAGUCGGCCUGCGCGGAAGAUGUAACGGGGCUAAGUAGUAAACCGAAGCUGCGGCAAUAUACUUUUGUAUAUUGGGUAGGGGAGCGUUCUGUAAGCGGUUGAAGGUGUGUGGUAACGCAUGCUGGACGUAUCAGAAGUGCGAAUGCUGACAUGAGUAACGAUAAAGGGGGUGAAAAACCUCCUCGCCGGAAGACCAAGGGUUCCUGUCCAACGUUAAUCGGGGCAGGGUAAGUCGACCCCUAAGGCGAGGCCGAAAGGCGUAGUCGAUGGGAAACGGGUUAAUAUUCCCGUACUUCUUACAAUUGCGAUGGGGGGACGGAGAAGGCUAGGUGGGCCUGGCGACGGUUGUCCAGGUUCAAGUGCGUAGGCUUAAGAGUUAGGUAAAUCCGGCUCUUUUUAAGGCUGAGACACGACGUCGAGCAUCUACGGAUGUGAAGUCAUUGAUGCCAUGCUUCCAGGAAAAGCCUCUAAGCUUCAGAUUGUAAGGAAUCGUACCCCAAACCGACACAGGUGGUCGGGUAGAGAAUACCAAGGCGCUUGAGAGAACUCGGGUGAAGGAACUAGGCAAAAUGGUACCGUAACUUCGGGAGAAGGUACGCUCUUGAUGGUGAAGUCCCUUGCGGAUGGAGCUGACGAGAGUCGCAGAUACCAGGUGGCUGCAACUGUUUAUUAAAAACACAGCACUGUGCAAAAUCGUAAGAUGACGUAUACGGUGUGACGCCUGCCCGGUGCCGGAAGGUUAAUUGAUGGGGUUAGACUUCGGUCGAAGCUCUUGAUCGAAGCCCCGGUAAACGGCGGCCGUAACUAUAACGGUCCUAAGGUAGCGAAAUUCCUUGUCGGGUAAGUUCCGACCUGCACGAAUGGCGUAAUGAUGGCCACGCUGUCUCCACCCGAGACUCAGUGAAAUUGAAAUCGCUGUGAAGAUGCAGUGUACCCGCGGCUAGACGGAAAGACCCCGUGAACCUUUACUACAGCUUGGCACUGAACAUUGACCCUACAUGUGUAGGAUAGGUGGGAGGCUUUGAAGCACGUACGCCAGUAUGUGUGGAGCCGUCCUUGAAAUACCACCCUUGUAGUGUUGAUGUUCUAACGUCGACCCCUUAUCGGGGUUGCGGACAGUGCCUGGUGGGUAGUUUGACUGGGGCGGUCUCCUCCCAAAGAGUAACGGAGGAGCACGAAGGUGGGCUAAUCACGGUUGGACAUCGUGAGGUUAGUGCAAUGGCAUAAGCCCGCUUGACUGCGAGAAUGACAAUUCGAGCAGGUGCGAAAGCAGGUCAUAGUGAUCCGGUGGUUCUGAAUGGAAGGGCCAUCGCUCAACGGAUAAAAGGUACUCCGGGGAUAACAGGCUGAUACCGCCCAAGAGUUCAUAUCGACGGCGGUGUUUGGCACCUCGAUGUCGGCUCAUCACAUCCUGGGGCUGAAGUCGGUCCCAAGGGUAUGGCUGUUCGCCAUUUAAAGUGGUACGCGAGCUGGGUUUAGAACGUCGUGAGACAGUUCGGUCCCUAUCUGCCGUGGGCGUUGGAAGAUUGAAGGGGGCUGCUCCUAGUACGAGAGGACCGGAGUGGACGAACCUCUGGUGUUCGGGUUGUGUCGCCAGACGCAUUGCCCGGUAGCUAAGUUCGGAAUCGAUAACCGCUGAAAGCAUCUAAGCGGGAAGCGAGCCCUGAGAUGAGUCUUCCCUGAUACUUUAAGUAUCCUAAAGGGUUGUCGGAGACUACGACGUUGAUAGGUCAGGUGUGUAAGUGCUGUGAGGCAUUGAGCUAACUGAUACUAAUUGCCCGUGAGGCUUAACCAU
rnacentral:rRNA from 1 species